rnacentral:rRNA from 1 species
GAUGAACGCUGGCGGUAUGCUUAACACAUGCAAGUCGAACGGUCACUUCGGUGAUAGUGGCGGACGGGUGAGUAACGCGUGAGAAUCUGUCUUCAGGUCGGGGACAACAGUUAGAAAUGACUGCUAAUACCGGAUGUGCCUUUGGGUGAAAGAUUUAUUGCCUGCAAAAGAGCUCGCGUCAGAUUAGCUAGUAGGUGGUGUAAGAGACUACCUAGGCUCCGAUCUGUAGCUGGUCUGAGAGGACGAUCAGCCACACUGGAACUGAGACACGGUCCAGACUCCUACGGGAGGCAGGAGUGGGGAAUUUUCCGCAAUGGGCGAAAGCCUGACGGAGCAAUACCGCGUGAGGGACGAAGGCUUUUGGGUCGUAAACCUCUUUUCUCAAGGAAGAUGAUGACGGUACUUGAGGAAUAAGCAUCGGCUAACUCUGUG